rnacentral:ribozyme from 14 species
CGGGACACGCCGUACGUAUACCGUACUCAUAAUUAUAAAGAAAGAAAACUAAAAAGAAUAGACAGUAAAAGCUUAUAUAUUCCA